UUGUUUCCGUAGAUAUGUUUGGUCUGAACCAAAUUAAAGGAAUAGAAGACCUUCCUUAGAUAGUAUCGGUUUGGUCAAUCUUAGUAAACCAAGUGAAUCUUCUGGUUGGAUUGGUUUUCAGGCUUGGUUCUUCUUUCUCUGGUCUUCUAAAAGUUUCUCCUUGCCAUGUAGCUUUAGUCGAGGCCCAUUCAUGAUUGGAUUUGUAUGGACCAAAAUAUGGCUGAUUUGGCCAUUGGAUGCUGAGAAGAUUGUCUGACUUUUAAAAUCCAUAUCUUUGUGGUCCACGAAGUUUUCUGGUGAUUUUAAUUCCAGAUGGUGUAAGGAUGAGUUGUAUGUCCUUAAGAAUUGAUUUCAUGUAAAAAAUCUUUGUGGCUUGUAAGCUAUUCUCAUUUGAGUGAACAUUGGUCGCGAUAGUUAUGUUGUGG
rnacentral:lncRNA from 1 species